ensembl:lncRNA
AUAUGUAAAUUUGAAAAGAAACGAUGUGCCAUGUGAAAAAUCUAGUAGGAUCAAAACACGUUUUUAUUAAGCUCUUUAUAUAAUACUUUUCAAAUUUCAAAUAUAAUAUAAUAUAAUAAUUUUCAGAAGAAAAACAAAUUUAACAGGGAACAAAGGAAGUCAAAACACAAUAGAGUUACUUUCAAUAAAGACAUAACAUUGUUUUAAUACAUAAGAUUAUACGAUGCAUGAAAAAAAAUCCUGAGACUCUUCUUAGGAGUAAUAAUAAUAAUAAUAAUAACGACAACAACAAUAAUUAAUUUAUAUAAUGCCUUUCAAAGACGUUUGCAAGCACUGAGCAGGUUUAGCCGAUGACAGACCAUAAAAGGCGGAGCUUUAGGAAUGUCGAAUCUAUAUAUGUAGUUGAGAGCAGCUGCGGGAGUGUGAGUCUUUGAGCCUAUAUAUAUAUAUAUAUAUAUAUAUAUAUAUAUAUAUAUAUAUAUAUAUAUAUAUAUAUAUAUAUAUAUAUAUAUAUAUAUCCUUUUAAAGGAAUAUAUAUACACCUUUUUGUUAGAUUUCUGACAGGAUUUUUCAAUCCUAUUUAUAAAUGUAUUUAAAAAACACCACCACUAAAUCGACACCUCUAACACUAGCUAUCUCUGAAUGCAGUUAUAAAACUACAUCUAUCCAGAAACAUUUGAUGGCGAGUUAUAUACAUGUACGAAUAUCUGUGGUCUGCACGCAGGCAAGUAAAUCUUCAUGUUCUUAAAGCAGGGCUUCAUGAACACUUCAUACACUGCACAGUUCUCUCACACACCUUCUUCACCUAAUAACAACCUGAACCUGAGAUAAGUGGCUUAAGUGUCAUAGUGCUCAUCUUCAAUCCUCACUAUGAAGAAUGUUGUUUUAAAGGCAAGUACUGGAUGAAAUGUACUGUAUACGAUGGGAAUAUUAUGAGUGUGAUAUAGUAUUAGGACUUCUUUGCUGAAGUGUUGAGGAACACCUCAUGGUUCUGCGUUAUUUACACCAGACCGAUUUGGGUUUAUCGGAGAAUCUCACAGAAAUGGUCUCCGAUCAAUCGGGAUGAUCGUAACACAACAAAAGAGUAAAAAUAUAUGACUACUGCGCAUGGAGACACAUUUAUUAAUACAUUACUCUCAGAAAAAAAUAAGCACUGAGUUUACAGUUGAGGUCAGAAGUUGACAUACCCCUUGCAGAAUCCGCAAAAUGUUCACUUAAAAAUAAUAAUAAUAAUAAUAAAAUAAGCGGGAUGAUAAACUGAAAUUGCAUUUAGGGUUUUUAAAAAAAAUAUAUUUAGUCCUGUCCUGAAUAAACUAUUUCACAUAGCAGAUGUUUACAUAUAGUCCACAAGACACAAUAAGAACUGAAUUUACACGAACGAACCCGUUCAGAAGUUUACACACGCUCGAUUCUUAAUACCCUGUGUCGUUGGAUGACCAACGAGUCGUUCAUGAGUCCCUUGUCUGUCCUGAGCAGUUAAACUGCACACUGUUCUGGGGGUGUAAACUUUUGAGCGGGAUGAUCGGUGUAUAUUCUUAUUAUUUUGCUUCAGAACAAUUUACAGCAAUCAGGUAGGUGUAUGUAAACUUAUGACCUCGACUGUGCAUGUACUUUUGUUUGUCACUGCAGUUGUAUCAUCAUCUUGUGUACCUUUUAAUAUAUAUAUAUAUAUAUAUAUAUAUAUA